rnacentral:lncRNA from 1 species
CUGAUGAGCGCAGUGUCACUAGGCUGCAACGGAUACGUUACUACUCAAUUCAAUUUUUGUGUGUUUGGCACUAUAAAAAGUGAACUAAAAUACAGUUGUGUGCUCUUAAUAGUCGUGUGCUCUUAAUAAAUAACAUUUGGAGCUGCUCUGUAAAAUGAAUACCCAGAAACCAAAUCUAACAUGGAAUGAUGACGAAAAAUCAUCACGGAAUGGUGACCAAAAAUCGACCUCGCCAGUCAAAGAAGAUAAAAAACCAGUUGACCAGGUCAGACCGCCACGAUGGAAGCGUGCAGGAAAAAAAUGCCAAAAAAACAAAGAAGACGCUGAAAAACGGCUCCAAUUCCUUUUGAAACAAUUAUCGACUCCCCGUCGAUAUAAUUAAAAAAGCGAUCUCAUUCAGAAAAAAUAAUCUUUAUUCUUAAUGAGGGAAGAGGACAUCGAGUUAUGAACUCCCACUUCGCGUGCUUAUAACCGAACGCCCAUCAAGUCAUUUACAUACCAUAAAGUUCACAUUAAACUGAGUAGUGCAGUGGUGAGUGAGUUAGUCUCCCGCCUAUUCUGCUCUGGGUUCAAGUCCUGCCUAAACAGAAUAGUUUAGGCAAAAGUGUUUUUUUUUUUUUUUUUCAUUUUUGUUUCAUUAUAUUAUUGAAAUUUAUAAAAUCAUUUACGCGCUUUUAUUGAAAUCACGAAUUGAAUGUCAAAUUAAUUUUUUUGAAUUUUGCAAUUUUUCUAACCCUACUGACUUGGAAAUUAAAAUACCUAUCAGAGUGUACUCGGAAAAAGACAUUUAUCAAAAAAUAAUUUAAUUUAAAAUGUUCCCUGCCUCAUUGAAAGAGAUAUCGAAAAAAAAUGGAAUAAAAUUUUUAAAACAAAUUUUUUGAAAAAUCGUUUUAUUAUACAUCAAAGUUGUUUUAAUAACGAGUCCAUUAUUUCUAAUCAGCAACAAUACUGCUUUGGGAUUUUGUUUACCGUCGAUUUGAUGA